CCUACGGGGAGCAGCAGUGAGGAAUAUUGGUCAAUGGGCGGGAGCCUGAACCAGCCAAGUCGCGUGAGGGAAGACGGUCCUAUGGAUUGUAAACCUCUUUAGGCGGGGAGCAAUGCCGGGCACGUGUGCCCGGAGGGAGAGUACCCGCAGAAUAAGCAUCGACUAACUCCGUGCCAGCAGCCGCGGUAAUACGGAGGAUGCGAGCGUUAUCCGGAUUUAUGGGGUUUAAAGGGUGCGUAGGCGGAUUUUUAAGUCAGCGGUAAAAUGUCCGGGCUCAACCCGGGCCGGCCGUUGAAACUGGGGAUCUUGAGUGGGCGAGAAGUAUGCGGAAUGCGGGGUGUAGCGGUGAAAUGCAUAGAUAUCACGCAGAACUCCGAUUGCGAAGGCAGCAUACCGGCGCCCGACUGACGCUGAGGCACGAAAGCGUGGGGAUCGAACAGGAUUAGAUACCCCAUAGUC
rnacentral:rRNA from 1 species